GGGCCUAUAGGUAAGUGGUAUACCGGAUCGUUCGCAACGAUCAGUCGCCAGUCCGAUUCUGGCUAGGUCCA
rnacentral:tRNA from 1 species